UCACCCCACAAAGGAAGACUCUUUCAGUUUAUCACAAAUAUUAGCAUUAAAUCAUCAUUUUGAGGGUACAUGGUUUUCACUGGGCAGGAAGGGUUUGAAAUAUGUAACCAGCAACGUACAGUAGUUGAGUAGAAAGUGCAGUAUUUGCCUCUGAGAUACAGCAAAGCAGACAAAAUUGAAGUUGCAUGAAAUCCUCAAAUGUCUACGUUAGCACUUGAGUAAAUAUACAUUUCACCACUGGGUAAGAGCUUUAUACUGUGUUUUGUGUGUGUUUGUUUUCAGAAUGAGACAGGGAUGGGCUGUGAGAACUCUGAAAUUAUCCAGCCAGGUUUGUAUGAUGUUGUUCCACCAGAUCACGAGACUCCAGCAUCAUCCACUCUUCUAGUAAGAUGUCAGCACACUGUACUUCUUGAAGAUGACCCAGCACUCUGGCCAAAACAGCUGUCUGAUAGUGCACGCUGCUCAAUAGUGCAGAGAGGACCACUUCAGGUGAAGGACAGGAUCUUCCCAAGAAAUGAAGAUGGGCGCAGAUUUACUAGCAGCAAUUACUACAUGCAAAUGAAAAAUGGAGAACAGAUAUGCAGAUCAUGGCUUGUCUACAGUGAAAAGAAGGACCGUGUUAUUUGUUUUUGCUGCCGCCUGUUUGGAAACAGAGAAAGGAGCAAUCAGCUGAGUGAGGAUGGGUUUAAUGAUUGGAAAAAUCUUUCAGCCCACCUGAGACAGCAUGAAAAGUCAGCUGAGCACAUUGCAAAUAUGGAUGCUUGGCGCAACCUAUCGCAGAAACUCCAGACACACACGGCUAUAGAUCAGGUGAACCAAAAUCUUCUUUCUCUUGAAGUAAAUCGCAGGAAAGAGGUACUGACAAGAUUGAUUGCAAUCGUUAACCAUCUGGCAGAGCGCAAUCUAGCAUUUCGUGGCCACUCUGACAGGCUGUUUGAGCCUGGAAAUGGAAAUUUCCUUGGGCAAGUUCAACUCAUGGCUCAGUUUGACCCAAUUAUGAGAGAGCAUCUGAGAAGUCAGGCCAAAGAGCUAAGUGACAAUUACUUGAGCAAACACAUUCAAAAUGAACUCAUCUCCCUUGUAGCAAAGUGCACAAUCAAUGCAAUUGUGGAGAAAGUAAAGAAAGCUAAAUAUUAUGCUGUUAUCAUGGACUGCACUCCAGACCUCAGUCACAAUGAGCAGCUUUCAGUGGUACUACGGAUUGUGAAUUGUGAAACCUCAAAAGGUAUCUCCAUUCAUGAGCACUUUGUUGGUUUUCUUCAGGCACUUGACACAACAGGAAAAGGGUUAUGUGAGUCAUUUUUAGGGCACCUAGAAACACUAGGUUUGGACCUCUCCAACUGCCGUGGCCAGUCUUACGACAACGGCAGUAACAUGCAGGGUAAAAAGCAGGGGGUCCAAAAGAGAGUGUUAGAACUAAACAGCAAGGCUUUGUGUGUUCCCUGUGGAAGCCACACUUUGAACCUUGUUGUUGGGGAUGCUGCCAAGUCAUCUGUGACAUCCAUCAGCUUCUUUGGUCUGCUACAGUGACUCUACACUCUGUUCAGCUCCUCAGUUCACCGCUGGUCCAUUCUCACAGAGCAUGUCAAGAAUUUCACACUGAAGGCAUUGUCAACAACCAGAUGGGAGUCCAGGGUUGAAGCUAUCAAAGCUGUUCGCUACCAGCUUCCUGAAAUUGUGGAGGCAUUGACUGCUCUAAAGGAAUAUGCCAUGGAGAAAAGGGAUGCAGAAGUUGUUUCAGCAGCUGGAAGCAUCUGCAAGGAGAUGCAGAGGUGGCCUUUUGUGGUAAGUACCAUUGUAUGGUACAAUGUGUUGUUCCAGAUAAAUAAAGCCAGCAAGACCCUGCAGAGCCAGAAGGUUUGUAUUGAAACAGUCAGGAAAGAAAUCGGGGCAGUGACAGAAUUCCUUCAGGAAUUUCGGGAUGAUGGGUUCAACACUGCCAAAACAGAGGCCAGGGAAAUAGCAGAGAAGCUUGGGGUAGAGAUGAGCUGGCCAGAGGUGCAUCAGAGAAGAACAACCCAACAGUUUGAGUAUGAAGGCAAAGAGCAAACUCAGUCAACUGCAGAAGAGAUCUACAAAAGAGAAUUUUUCUUGUCUCUUAUUGAUAAAGCUCUUAUUACUUUAAAGGAAAGAUUUUCACACAUGGAAACCUUCUAUGAGCUGUAUGGAUUUCUCUACUCCACUGACGUCAUGAGAAGCACUGAGAAGGAAGGGAAGCUGGAUGAAUGCUGCCACAGACUGGAGCAGAGAUUUGAUGAUGUUGAUGCAGAGGACCUGAAACUUGAGGUAAAGGGAGCAGUUAGAUCCUUCCCCACAAAUAUCUCAACACCAUCUGAGAUGCUUGAUUAUAUCUAUAAGGAGAAUAUCUUAGACCUAUAUCCAAAUAUGAGUAUAGCACUGAGACUUCUGCUCAUUCUCCCUGUGACAGUGGCCUCAGGUGAGAGAAGUUUCUCGAAACUGAAGUUCAUUAAAACAUAUCUGAGGUCAACAAUGUCACAGGAGAGGCUGUCUGCACUCGCUGUUCUCUCCAUCGAGCAAGAAGUCAGGAAGUCAGUGGAUAUGGAUCUCCUCAUUGCAAGAUAUGCUGAGGCCAAGGCUCGCAAAAUGAGAUUUUAGGGCCAAAAGGGAGAAAAUACAAAGACUACGAGAAAAAGGGACAAAAGAAAACAUGGAGAGGGAGACAACAAGACUACAGAAAAAGACAGGAAGAGAAAAAGAAAAAAGAGAGAGGAAUGUGAGUUAAAGGGACAGGAAGAGAAAAAAGACAAGGACAAAAAGGAGAGAAAUCAAAGACUACAGAAAAAGACAAGAAGAGAAAAAGAAAAAAGAGAGAGGAAUGUGAGUUAAAGGGACAGGAAGAGAAAAAAGACAAGGACAAGGAGAGAAAUCAAAGACUACAGAAAAAGACAGGAAGAGAAAAAGAAGAAGAAAGAAAAAAGGGAGAGAAAGACAACCAGUAAAAGGGACAGAAGAAAUCAAUGGAGAUGAAGACAACAAGAAAAAGGGACAGGAAAAUGUGUAAAAGGAACAGGAAGAGGAAAAAAGACAAGGACAAAAAGGAGAGAAUUUAAAGACUACAGAAAAAGACAGGAAGAGAAAAAGAAGAAGAAAGAAAAAAGGGAAAGGAAGACAACCAGUAAAAGGAACAGGAAGAGAAAAAGGAAAAAGGGAGAGGAAUAUGAGUAAAAGGGACAGAAGAAGAAAAAAGACAAGGACAAAAAGAAGAGAAAUCAAAGACUACAGAAAAAGACAGGAAGAGAAAAAGAAGAAGAAAGAAAAAAGGGAGAGGAAGACAACCAGCAAAAGGGACAGAAGAAAACAAUGGAGAUGAAGACAACAAGAAAAAGGGACAGGAAGAUGUGUAAAAGGGACAGGAAGAGAAAAAGAAAAAGAGAGGAAUAUGAGUAAAAGGGACAGAAGAAGAAAAAAGACAAGGACAAAAGGGAGAGAAAUACAAAGACUACAGAAAAAGACAAGAAGAGAAAAAGAAAAAAGAGAGAGGAAUGUGAGUUAAAGGGACAGGAAGAGAAAAAAGACAAGGACAAAAAGGAGAGAAAUCAAAGACUACAGAAAAAGACAAGAAGAGAAAAAGAAAAAAGAGAGAGGAAUGUGAGUUAAAGGGACAGGAAGAGAAAAAAGACAAGGACAAGGAGAGAAAUCAAAGACUACAGAAAAAGACAGGAAGAGAAAAAGAAGAAGAAAGAAAAAAGGGAGAGGAAGACAACCAGCAAAAGGGACAGAAGAAAACAAUGGAGAUGAAGACAACAAGAAAAAGGGACAGGAAGAUGUGUAAAAGGGACAGGAAGAGAAAAAGAAAAAGAGAGGAAUAUGAGUAAAAGGGACAGAAGAAGAAAAAAGACAAGGACAAAAGGGAGAGAAAUACAAAGACUACGAGAAAAAGACAGGAAGAGAAAAAGAAAAAAGAGAGAUGAAUAUGAGUAAAAGGGACAGGAAGAGGUAAAAACAAAUAAUACAUGUGUAUUCUGUUAAAAUGUAUGUAUCUGUAUAAUUGACCUGUUGUUUUGUGUGUUGUCUUCUCAUUUCAGCACCACAACAUAGAGGACAGCAGCUGCUGCUGCCCAAAUUUGAGCUAUGUAAAGAGGGCCCCAUGCCUGCCUUUGCCUUGGGCCCCAAAUUUCCUAAAUCCGCCACUGCCUUUGGGGGAUAUUUUUCUGGUGGCAUACUGGUGGAAGUGGAGCAGUGUGGAUCAGUGGGGAUGAAUGAAGAAUAUAUUGGGUGGUAACGCGUUACGUGACAUUGUAAAUGAAAUAAUACAACCGGUAAUCCUGUUGGUAACGUGUUGAUUAAAAUCUAAUAGCAAGCAGGACUGGCUGAUGAUUCAACUUUUAUCAUUGACAGUUCCUCUAAAUGACUGUGACGUGACAGAAAUUAUUUUUGCAACAGCAACAUACACCGGUUGCCAGUUUUCAAGACUAAAUGGAUGAAUGCUUGAUCUUCUGUAUUGUGCUGCUUCAUUUAAGAUUUUGUGAAGAAGAAAGAGGGAGGAUACAAAGCAAACAUGCUGUAGAUUACAUACAGAAACCCAUAAGUAAGUGCUAAGUGCCACCCCGAACAAUGACUUUUAGUUAAUUGGACAACAUUUACAGUGUACAAGCAUGUGAGGAGCCAGACUUGAUGGCAAGCUGGUAUUGUAUCUAAUAAAAAAAUGCUGUAAUAAUUUGAAGUUAAGUGCAAUAACUGAUAUGUAAUUGAGGGUUUUAUAUACUCGCUGAUAUGCUAACAUAUAAAGUUUGAAGUUGCUAAUUGGCAGCAUGUGACUU